AGGAUAAUAGUUAAUCAUAACAUUUAAUUUGCAUUUAAAAAAUACUGAAGCUUCAGUUUAUCUUA
rnacentral:tRNA from 1 species